UGCAAAGAGUUUUCCUAAAGAUUCCUCUUCAUAUUUGUGGAUCCUUGAGAAUCCCUCCUAUUGUGUGUCUCAACAGAUUCCAAGGACUUUGACAUCGUGGUGUAAAAACAACAUCUUGGUCUCAUCAGGAAUGUUGUUUCCUAUGAAAAUUGUAGGUUUCUCUUUGAUUUAUGUGAUAUGACAUCUGUGACCUUGGAAAGGCUGGAAGUUAGUGGGAGGAAUAUAACCACAAGAGAGACAGAUUUGGUUCCUCUCGGGAAGCCGGAGGAAAAUAUUUCCCCUUUGGGCACCCUCGGCAGCUUUUUGAGAGUUGAGACUAGGCACUUCCAUCCACCACAGGUUUCAAGGUCAUCGUAGGUCUGGGUGGACUUGGUGGCCCUCGGAGCUGACCAGUUGAAAGGCGGCCAUCAAGAGAAUGACUGGACAGAAAGCAGCAAGUCAGGGUCUCCAGGACACGCAACAACGUUUAAGAACCUCUACUUUAGACAUUUAUGCCACAGUUUGAUGUCUCCAAUGACAAAAAUCAUUGUUAUAAAGCCCCAAGUUAAACUAAGCAUUUAGUAGGUGUUCAGCCAGUGUUAAAUAGAAUAAACAUAACAAGAAUAAUUGGCAUAGAAAAUGACUAUCUAAUUAAGUAUUUCCUUCUAUGAAUUGUCAUUCUUGUUUAGGAGAAAAGUCAUCACAUAGAAGCCUGUGUCUAAUUUUUCCUUUUUUCUCCAUCUAAAAAAAUAAAUGAGUUAAGUGGGAGCAAUGCCAGUGAUUUUAGAAGACUUUUGUGAAAUGACAAGUUAGAACAAAGACCCGAGCAAAAGAACAGCUUUAGUCAUCUACAUGAAAAGGCUGCUUCCAUCCCUUCUGAAGGAGCUGCAAGUGAAUAAUUUAGAUGAGAACGGGAGAAAAUGUCUAAAGGGAUUGAUGGAGAGAUCCAGAGAGCUCGUCAAUGAGCCCAGAUUUCAGAAGAACACAUCAAAAAGAGAAAUGAGGGCAGUCAACUGAGGACAAUACAAAAAGGAUGCAUAUGUGGGCCUGUAAGAGUCAGGCAAGCAAAACUAAGGCACAGAAUGAGCUGGCUCUCACAAUUAAUGCUAAGAAUAACAGUGAUAACAUGAAAGCUUUAACAAAUGAUUUGACCCUUUCUGAUACUACAUUUGCUUGGAAUAAAAUGAAAAUGUGAUGAUGAGAAGACAAAACUAUUCAACUCACUUUUCUUCUGUAAAGGAAUUUAAGUUUGCUUUAUAGAGAAGGUUAAAAAAAUAUGGAUUGGGCCAGGGACUCAAUGUAUGAUUUCAGUGAUAUGUGAAAAUCUUGGAUGAUGAAACUCUCUGGCAACGUAGGUUGGCAAUUUCUCUGUACAUAGCCAAUAUGUGUCAGGGGUGAACCUUGAACCUAGCUCUUCCUGGCUGCGAGGGCUGUUCUCUAUCUCCUGUGCAUGAUAACUUGGUAAGCAAAGGUGAUUAUGAGCAAGUUGAAACUCAGGAUAAAAAAGGAGUUUGUAAGAGCCUGGAAUUGCUCAAAAUGAAUCCAAACAAAUGAAGGCUCAGGACAAAGAAUUUGCAGUUAUGAUAGUUGGACUAAUAUUGGCGAUCCUUGAGGAAUCAUUUCAGGGGAGAAGUGAUGAAGGAAUGAAGAUGCAGAAUCCAAGGCAUAGAGGUUAAAUGACUGACAGAGGGUCAUCUAGCAAAUAAGUGCCCAAGAAUAUAAGCUCCUUGGAUUUCUACAUGAACUAGAGAGACCUCCAGGAACUGAUGCAGAGUGAAAUGAGCAGAACCAGGAGAUCAUUAUACACAGAAACUGAUACACUGUGGAACUGUCCAAUGUAAUAGGCUCUGCUAAUACAAGACAACCCCGAGGGACUUAUGAGAAAGAAUGGUAUCCACACUGAGAGAAAGAACUGUGGGAGUAGAAAUCCAGAAGAAAAACUAGUUAUAUCCUCUGUUUAUUUGGAUAUAUGAUUUGGGGUUUUGGUUUUAAAAGAUCACUCUAUUCCAAAAUUGAAUAAUAUGGAAAUAGGUAUAAGUGAUAACAUUUGUAUAACCCAGUGGAAGUGCUUAUUGGAUCUAGGAAGAGGGAGGGAGAGAAAAUAUAUCAUGGAAACAUGGAAAAACAUAUUAAAAGUUAAAAAUUAAAAAAAAAAAGAAUAUAAGCUCCUUGAGGACAAAGUCAUGUUUUUGCCUUCUUUGCAUCCCCAGCACUUAGCAUAGUAUGUGGCACACAGGAAGCACUUCAUAAAGGCUCAUUGACUGACCUACUGAGUCUUUACAAAGUGUUUUACUCACAACAGUCGUUGUAGGGCAGCAUUUUAUGCAUUUUUGUACCCAUUUUGUAGAUGAGGAAAGUGGGGCUUGGAAACAUUGAAUGACUUGUCUGUGGUCCGCAAAUGAUAUAGUUAGGACAUGAACCAAGUCUUCUGAUUUAGUUUCCUCACCAUAUCAAACUCUCUUGUAUAGAAUUUUUCCCCAUCCUGAAAGAAACUCAGAACUUUUUGUCUAGAGACUAUAGACAGGUUACAAUUGUGGAAGUAGAAAAGAAAUUGGUUUUUGUAUUCUUUAAAAAACUGUCUCUGAAAUUUAUAAGAUCCUAGAUAUAGAUCUGGAGGAUACCUUAGAGGCCAUCAGGUUAAACACCUUCUUUUAGCAGAUGGGGAAACGAAGGCUCAAAGAGGUUAAAUGAUUGGCAUAGAAUCAUAUAUUGCCAGAGGUAGGAUUUGAACUUCUGUCUUCUAGAUUUCAGGACUAGCAAUUUGACCACUAUGCCAGAGGUUAAAUGAAUUACACACUUCUAAAAUAUGAACACAGGGGGCAGCUUGGUAGCUCAGUGGAUUGAGAGCCAGGCUUGGAGACUAGAGGUCCUAGGUUCAAUUUUGGCCUCAGACACUUCCCAGCUGUGUGACCCUGGGCAAGUCACUUGACCCCCAUUGCCUAGCCCU